rnacentral:tRNA from 1 species
GCCUGGGUGGCUCAGUCAGUUGAGCGUCCGGUUUCGGCUCGGGUCAUGAUCUCACAGCUCGUGGGUUCGAGCCCCGCGUCGGGCU